AAAAACUCCGGUGGUAUGAGAUGGACCCGCGUCUGAUUAGCUGGUUGGAGGGGUAAUGGCCCACCAAGGCGACGAUCAGUAGCCGGCCUGAGAGGGUGAACGGCCACAUUGGGACUGAGACACGGCCCAGACUCCUACGGGAGGCAGCAGUGGGGAAUAUUGCACAAUGGGGGAAACCCUGAUGCAGCGACGCCGCGUGAAGGAAGAAGUAUCUCGGUAUGUAAACUUCUAUCAGCAGGGAAGAAAAUGACGGUACCUGACUAAGAAGCCCCGGCUAACUACGUGCCAGCAGCCGCGGUAAUACGUAGGGGGCAAGCGUUAUCCGGAUUUACUGGGUGUAAAGGGAGCGUAGACGGAAGAGCAAGUCUGAUGUGAAAGGCUGGGGCUUAACCCCAGGACUGCAUUGGAAACUGUUUUUCUAGAGUGCCGGAGAGGUAAGCGGAAUUCCUAGUGUAGCGGUGAAAUGCGUAGAUAUUAGGAGGAACACCAGUGGCGAAGGCGGCUUACUGGACGGUAACUGACGUUGAGGCUCGAAAGCGUGGGGAGCAAACAGGAUUAGAUACCCCGGUAGUCCACGCCGUAAACGAUGAAUACUAGGUGUCGGGUGGCAAAGCCAUUCG
rnacentral:rRNA from 1 species